UGCUGGAGGUAUCAGAAGUGCGAAUGCUGACAUAAGUAACGAUAAAGCGGGUGAAAAGCCCGCUCGCCGGAAGACCAAGGGUUCCUGUCCAACGUUAAUCGGGGCAGGGUGAGUCGACCCCUAAGGCGAGGCCGAAAGGCGUAGUCGAUGGGAAACAGGUUAAUAUUCCUGUACUUGGUGUUACUGCGAAGGGGGGACGGAGAAGGCUAUGUUAGCCGGGCGACGGUUGUCCCGGUUUAAGCAUGUAGGCUGGUUGUCCAGGCAAAUCCGGAUAAUCAAGGCUGAGGUGUGAUGACGAGGCACUACGGUGCUGAAGUAACAAAUGCCCUGCUUCCAGGAAAAAGCCUCUAAGCAUCAGGUAACAUCAAAUCGUACCCCAAACCGACACAGGUGGUCAGGUAGAGAAUACCAAGGCGCUUGAGAGAACUCGGGUGAAGGAACUAGGCAAAAUGGUGCCGUAACUUCGGGAGAAGGCACGCUGGUGUGUAGGUGAAGUCCCUGCGGAUGGAGCUGAGACCAGUCGAAGAUACCAGCUGGCUGCAACUGUUUAUUAAAAACACAGCACUGUGCAAACACGAAAGUGGACGUAUACGGUGUGACGCCUGCCCG
rnacentral:rRNA from 1 species